rnacentral:lncRNA from 1 species
AGGGAUAAAAUCAAUCUAGAAAACCAUUGAGAAUGAGGAAAUAGCUAAUGUACUCUGGUUCUAAUAACCGGUAAACUUUGUAUAAUAUCGUCUUAUCGGACAAGUAACCCGAAUAGGAGAAGAAACAGAGUAAUCUCCUACCAGGCACCUAUAAAGCCUAUCCAUCAUAUCAAUUGGAAGUGGACUACAGAGGAUUCAACGUAGCUAUAAAGUCACCUAUGCGAGCUACCACAGUCUGGUCGAUCAGGGAACAUUCACAAGCAACCAUAGCUGAGACACCACGUCUAUGCUACGAAUCACUACUCCAACCUAG